UAUACACAAUUUUUAUACACACGAAUGAAAAUUAAAUACUGCAACUAAUUUUAAUUAGUUCCUGUAUUUAAUUUUCAUUCUUGUGUAUAAAUUAAAAUUUUGAUCUUGAAUUUUCUUGAUACUGGUUUGAUAUUUGUUUGCAAUCAGGAGGAAUAACAACUUUUAUAUAUAGCCAUACGGCAGCACUUUCCCCUUUUAAUAGUAACUUCCACUGAGCUAUACUAUAAUUUCUAGUUAAUUAAUCGAAUACUCCAAAUUUAAUCUGAAUUGAAUCUAGUAUUACAGUAAAAUUUACACAAGCUAAAGCUAAGUUUGAGUCAAAGAGUAAAGAUAUACUUCCUCUGUGACAAUGCUGUCAGCCGUUCCGCACGUUGUAACCAAUAAUGUAUUGGCGUUGUAAUGCCAUUGUAUGCAAUAAAGUAUUGGGUUGUAAUGGGUCUACAGUUAAUCCAAACGUUAAUCCUAAUCCAAACCCUUACCCCUAACCCCACCUCCUAACCCCUAACCCCACCUCCUAACCCUAAAGCCGAAAGCCGGCCAGCUAGAAUUGCAUUGCAAGUUGCAAGAAAAAUAGCACCGUG